rnacentral:rRNA from 1 species
UCGAGCGGGUAGCACAAGGAGAGCUUGCUCUCUGGGUGACGAGCGCCGGACGGGUGAGUAAUGUCUGGGAAACUGCCUGAUGGAGGGGGAUAACUACUGGAAACGGUAGCUAAUACCGCAUAACGUCGCAAGACCAAAGAGGGGGACCUUCGGGCCUCUUGCCAUCAGAUGUGCCCAGAUGGGAUUAGCUAGUAGGUGGGGUAAUGGCUCACCUAGGCGACGAUCCCUAGCUGGUCUGAGAGGAUGACCAGCCACACUGGAACUGAGACACGGUCCAGACUCCUACGGGAGGCAGCAGUGGGGAAUAUUGCACAAUGGGCGCAAGCCUGAUGCAGCCAUGCCGCGUGUGUGAAGAAGGCCUUCGGGUUGUAAAGCACUUUCAGCGAGGAGGAAGGUGGUGAACUUAAUACGUUCAUCAAUUGACGUUACUCGCAGAAGAAGCACCGGCUAACUCCGUGCCAGCAGCCGCGGUAAUACGGAGGGUGCAAGCGUUAAUCGGAAUUACUGGGCGUAAAGCGCACGCAGGCGGUUUGUUAAGUCAGAUGUGAAAUCCCCGGGCUCAACCUGGGAACUGCAUUUGAAACUGGCAAGCUAGAGUCUCGUAGAGGGGGGUAGAAUUCCAGGUGUAGCGGUGAAAUGCGUAGAGAUCUGGAAGGAAUACCGGUGGCGAAGGCGGCCCCCUGGACGAAGA